rnacentral:rRNA from 1 species
UACGGGGGGAGCAAGCGUUGUUCGGAUUUACUGGGCGUAAAGGGCGCGUAGGCGGCCACCGCAAGUCGACUGUGAAAUCUCCGGGCUUAACCCGGAAAGGUCAGCCGAUACUGCGGGGCUAGAGUGCAGAAGGGGCAACUGGAAUUCUCGGUGUAGCGGCGAAAUGCGUAGAUAUCGAGAGGAACACCUGCGGCGAAGGCGGGUUGCUGGGCUGACACUGACGCUGAGGCGCGAAAGCGUGGGGAGCGAACAGG